GGAGUUUGAAAUUUAUUACUUCCACCUAAUCAACCUAAAACAAAAGGCAGAAUCUCACAAUUGUGUAAUUACCACUUAUAUAUCUUCAAAUAAAGCAUUACAAGCAAAAACACACUCAAGCAAAACUGCAAAAUAUAAUAAAUUUUCUCUUCUCUUCAUCAUCUGCAGUUCGAUCCUUUGUUCCCUUAACUCCGUUAACAAGUUUUCC
rnacentral:lncRNA from 1 species